UUUUCUUGUUCCCAGGAGGUGAUCAGAGUUAGGAAUUACACUUACUGACCUGGACCUCGCGUUUUUGCGGAGACGCGGAAACAAGAUGUGUGCAGUCCGUCUGUCCAAUGAUUAGCCAGCCGACCUGGAGAGGGCCCUGGAAGGUGCCCAAAGGCAAGUCCGGUUCCGUCCCUCCUAGGGUCCAGGACAGCCCGCGCCGCGCGGGCCGGCAGCCGGAGCAGUCAGAGCGGCUGGGCGGUUGGCGCUGCCGGGUCUGCUGCCGACCUCUCAGGCCAAGCGCGCCUGGGCACCGCACUCACUCGCGGGGUGGGCGGGUGAAGGUGGGAGGAUCAGAGAUGGGAGCGUGGGGAGGGGGGCAAACCCCACCCUUAAACACAAGAAAACAGGUGCAGAGGCUGCGGGCGAUGGUCCUGCAGGGGAGGGGACUGGAGGAGAAGUUUUGGUGGCGAGGGAGCAGGAACAGUGUCCAGGGUCUCUCAGCCGCCUCCCGGGCUUGCAAGCCCGCUCAGCCAGACCUUACCCAGAGGGGCGCCCCCUCGCGGGUCCGCAGCCACCACCUGCAGCUGCUGCUGUCACCUGCUGUGCCACCCCCAAGUUUGAUACUCUGGGCGUUUGCGCCACCCCUACCUCCCUUCCCUUCCACGAAUCUCUCCCUUUGCUCUCUAACCCCCAGUUCCGCGAGAGAUGGCCCGGCGAAGACAGACCUCCUGGACUUGAGGCCGACUUCACCAAAUCCGCCCCGGGAAAAGGCGAGGGCAAAGGCGGGGCGGACAGACCCAGCUGCGGCUGAGGGACUGAGGUCCCUAGCAAGGCAGGAGCAGAGAUGGGGAGCUGGAUCCGCGCAGAACCCCGGAAAAGCGCCAGCAGGAUUGCACCGAGAACAAAUCCUCCGCACCCUCGCCCAGGGCUGGGGCGCAGUGCGCUGGUGCUCCUCUAGCUGGGCGGUCCCUGUGCUCCAAACAAGAAGAUAGCUGACUUCCGGAUCCUUCACUCUUUGAUCCUGACCCAAGCCACUCGUGCCACUAGAAGCGCAUGCCUAUGGAAUACUCGCUCCUGUCUCCUUGUGGUGAAGCCUUCCGCUAAUGCCCAGAGCCUCCCAGGCUGGAUUAGUGGGUAGGAGCAAAACAGGAUAGUGGAGACAAUCAGCAGAGCAGCAGCGUCUAUUUCCUCGGGAUUCCUCCCAGGAACCCUAUUCGAAGCCAUUCCUUCUAAAAGUUUGCAGCCAGUCUCUCUUUCCUUUGUUGGUUUUAAGAGGAGGCAGUAGAGCUACCUACAUACAAAAACGAAAGCCUGAUACUGGUAACCUAAGUCUUUACUUAACCAUCCUCUUCGGAGGCUUUGCACACAUUACUUUUCCUCUAUGCAUUGUCAUUUCUGAAAUAAGGAUGGUCAUACUGGUGUGCUUGGAAUUUCUCUGAAAUAUACUCCUAAAAGAUUAGAUUAAGAUUAGAUUCCGCUACUCUAAAAUGAAAAAAAUAUAUUUAUCUGUUUAAAAAGGUAAUACAUAUUCUCCAAGAUGUUAAUUAAAGGCUUCCCUCAAAUGGAUUGGAUUUUCAGUUCCUUCAGGGUUUUCCACACCCUAAUGGUAUUGCAUUUGUAAGGCAUUUUUACAGUGUAACCUGAAAUUAAUCUUCAGUUAAUAUAGUAUUAUGCCCACAGGAGUAUAGGAAUUGUUUAUAAAACAAAGCAGCCUGGGCUUUUCAAAUACCUAGAAACAAAGGUAAACAGAAAUGGAAAUGUUUAACAUGUUCUACACAGUUCCACUUAAAGUCUUUUAGUAGUUGUUUUUGUUUUGUUUUGUUUUGUUUGUUUUUUCCUUAAGAAAGUACUCUUUGCCCAAAUAUGUGUUAUGUGUGACAGGUUCCAUUCUUCUCAAUAUAUCUGCAUUGGUGAAGAAUGAACCAUAUACCAAUAAGUUAUAACUUUAAAAGAGUAGAAAUGGAUUUAAACAAUGACCACAAAAACAAAUCAAAUAUCCAGCAAAACAGAUGAGUGUUGUCUUUUAGGGCAAUUGCUUUGGAAAAUUCAACUGAUUUCACUGACAUUGAUUGCACAAAACACAUUUUAUCUUCUUUAAAAUUGCCUUUCAGAAGCGUAUUAGCAGCCAUAACCAACUAUUUGCCUCACUCUCUUAUAGAUGUGUGUUUGUCUUAGUAGAUUCAUAUAGUUCCACAGACAUCUAGUCAGCAACCUCAAAAGAGUAAAUGGUCUCUCUGAUUAAUGUCCUUUAAUAAAGUUCAGAAUUGGAUGAGAAACUGAUAAACUGAAAUGAAAGUCACUUCAUAGUGUAUCAUAUUAUCAAGGAGAGCUGUGGGAAUUAGCUUAUGACACUUUUGUGCAUCACAGUCUAAUUCAUAUCCUUAAAUGUGCAUACAUAUCCUGUGUAUUGUAGUAACAACGAACCACUCUGAUGAAUGUCCAUAAACCCAGUUGUGACACUGACAGGAGUUUGGGAGUUUGUGGAAGUGGUGGUGAAAUAUCGAUUAAUCCAAAUUGAAAUAGGACAAGAUUAUUGAUGCUUGAUUUCUUUUGUAUCAAAUCAUUUAGUUGCUCAGGAAAUUCCAUUUCUAACCAGAAUAUGUGCUGUGACUGCUCUUCAAAUAGACAACAGACUCAAACUCAGAUGCCUGCAUGGUUAGGGCCAAUGACAUAAAUGGACCAGCAUGCUAGGUUGUAGGAGAGAGUGGAAAAUGUUGAUUGCCAUAACACCUUGAAGAGCACAAAAGCACAUGCUAUAGCUAAAUGGGGAGAUUGCUUCUCAGAUUACACUCAGCUGGCCUGCAAAAAUCUUGAUUCAGUAUUCUCAGAUACGAUUUUUAAGAGAAGCAAAAUCCAUAUUGUUAAAAAUCUUCUGAAUUUUAAAUAAACCAAAUUAAUUUUUAAAAAUCCAAAACUCCUAGUGGACAGGCCAAAAUAAAUAAGAAAUCAUAGAUAGAUAGAUAGAUAGAUAGAUGAUAGAUAGAUAGAUAGAUAGAUAGAUAGAUAGAUAGAUAGAUAGCAGCCUGACUCAUCAUGGGCCUCCAAUAUUGUAACCUGUUACAUUAAUAUUUGAUGUCUGACAAAUCUCCUUAAAUAUUUAAAACAUAGUUCUACUACCAUUUCCCCUACCCCAUAGACCAUUUCUCAAUGCACAGAAAUACAAAAGGAAUACAGCCAAAGAUUAGUUGCCAAAUAAGUAAUUUUCUUUUCCAUUUCUGGUUGAAUAGAUAUUCCCAAGGAGACUCUGAAGUAAGAGAUUUGUUGAAUAACUGAACAAUCCAAAUAUUUUAGAUAGCUAGAUGAAAUUUCAGAAAAGCUCUCCAUUAAAAAAGUUCAAUAAUAUCAGUAUUGAGGACCACUUGUGAUACAUACUUAUUAGAUAAAGAAAAUCAUGAUACAGAUUUCCUUCAGUGUAAUUUCAUUUUAACAGCAAAGAUGCUUCCCCCAU
ensembl:lincRNA